GCCCCCCUCAAGAUGAGAUUUCCCAAUUAGUAAGACCCCUUGAAGACGACGAGGUAGAUAGGUUGGAGGUGGAAGUGCAGCAAUGCAUGGAGCUGACCAAUACUAAUCGGUCGAGGGCUUAUCCAAAUUACCCCA
rnacentral:rRNA from 1 species